GACGUCGAAUAUCGACGUCAUAAACACCAAAAUUGAUCGUGUUUAUGACGUCGAAUAUCGACGUCAUAAACACCUAAAUUGAUCCGUUUUAUGACGUCGAAUAUCGACGUCAUAAACACCAAAAAUCAUCGUGUUUAUGACAUCGAAUAUCAACGUC